AUGUUGUUCCGCCCGCCAACAACGCGGCUUCCCAUUGGCUCCGUCUUCUCAGCCAAUCACAGCCGGCGCUGCGCCGCAAGGGCUGAUGGGAGUUGUAGUCCCUGUGGGUGUCACGGCGGAGUUACCACGGCAACAGUCCCACCUCGGCCUUGUCUCCUCGGGGUCUGUGGCCUGUCCCCAAGGCUGUCGCGACAGGCCUCAAAGCCACGCCCAGAGGGCUGGAGAGUGACUUGGGAUACGGGAUGGAAUUCCAGGACACAAAGAAUGGAAAAAGGAUAUUCGGCCUGGAAAAAAUCGGGAUUUUAACCACCCUGCUCCCACCGCCUCGGGCAUCGCCUGCUCUGCUUUUCCAUCGGGAAUUCUGCGGAAUUCCAGGAUUUUUUGCGCCAUCCCCAAACCCCGACAACCCUCGGCAGUAAAUGAGGUGAGCUUUUUUAAUUUUUUUUUCCCCCCUCUGCGGUGCUGCGGGAAUGUCCUGACGCUGAAAGCUGCUGAGAGGGGGGUGGGGAAAGGGGAGAAAUAACCCCCAAAAAAUGCGGGAAUUUUUCCCAUCGGGGAAAAAAAAAUAUUUGGGAUGCGAGUGUGGUUUGGAUGUUGUAGGAGCAGAGAUUGACAUAACCUGGAUUUCUCCAGGUGCGCCGAGGGAGGGAGGAGGGGAAGGACGAGGGGGAUGGGGGGGAUUUAUCCUGGAAAUGCAAGUUAAGGAAAAGCUUCGCUCGUGAUGCAACGGCGGGGAGGGAUUGCUGCGGGAGCGUCCCGAAUCCCGCUGGAAUUGCGGCUGGAAUUUCGGGAAAAGCUGCUCGUGGUGGGGGGGAGAGGCCGGGCUGAUUCCAGAUUCCAGACCCCGAUUCCAAACCCCGAUUCCAAGCCCUGAUCCCAAAGGCCCCUGAUUCCAGACCCGGAUUCCAGACCAUGGCUGCAAACCCAGAUUCCAAAACCCAGUUCUAAACCACGAUUCCAAAUCCUGAUUCCAAAUCCUGAUUCCAAAGGCUACUGAUCCCAAACCCUGAUCCCAGACACAGAUGCCAGUGCCUGAUUCCAAAAGCUGAUUCCCAACCCAGAUUCCAAACCCAAAUUGCAAACCCUGAUCCAAACCCAGAUCCCAAACCGUGAUCCCAGACACAGAUGCCAGAUCCCAAACCCUGAUCCCAAAGCAAUUCCAAAACCAUAUCCCAAACCCAGAUUGCAAACCCUGAUCCCAGAUCAUGAUUCCAAACCCUGAUUCUCCACCCUGAUCCAAACCCAGAUUCCAAUCCAGAUCCCAAACCCUGAUCCCAGACAGAUUCCAAA
rnacentral:lncRNA from 1 species